rnacentral:rRNA from 1 species
UACGUAGGGGGCAAGCGUUGUCCGGAAUCAUUGGGCGUAAAGAGCGUGUAGGCGGCCAGGUAGGUCUGCUGUGAAAACUCGAGGCUUAACCUCGAGAUGUCGGCGGAAACCAUCUGGCUAGAGUCCGGAAGAGGAGAGUGGAAUUCCUGGUGUAGCGGUGAAAUGCGCAGAUAUCAGGAAGAACACCCGUGGCGAAGGCGGCUCUCUGGGACGGUACUGACGCUGAGACGCGAAAGCGUGGGGAGCGAACAGG